GACCUCUGGUCACCUCUGUUGAGGAACACCACCUGCCUGUGCCUCCUCCUCAUCCUCCUCCUCCUGAAUUACCUGAGGAAGAUGACAACUACUUUGCAGAUGAUGAAGAUGAGCCCAUGGAAGAAGGAGACUGAUUUUUUAUAGUUCAAUGAAGGCAUGGAUUUGUUCAUAAAGGAAGUUUUAAAUUCUACAUUCAGCAGUCAGACAAAUAUGGCCUCUUUAGUUAUAACAUUAACAUUGAAUUGAAAUCCUUUCUGUA